rnacentral:rRNA from 1 species
GACGAACGCUGGCGGCGUGCUUAACACAUGCAAGUCGAACGGAAAGGCCCUGCUUUUGUGGGGUGCUCGAGUGGCGAACGGGUGAGUAACACGUGAGUAACCUGCCCUUGACUUUGGGAUAACUUCAGGAAACUGGGGCUAAUACCGGAUAGGAGCUCCUGCUGCAUGGUGGGGGUUGGAAAGUUUCGGCGGUUGGGGAUGGACUCGCGGCUUAUCAGCUUGUUGGUGGGGUAGUGGCUUACCAAGGCUGUGACGGGUAGCCGGCCUGAGAGGGUGACCGGCCACACUGGUACGAAUAUACGGCACUGACUCCUACGGUAGGCAGCAGUCGCGACUAUUGCACUAUGGUCCGAAUCCUUAUGCAGCAAUGCCGCGUGCGAGAUGCCGGCCUUCGGGUUGUAAACCACUUUCGCCUCUGCCACAGCGUGAGUGACGGUAAUGUGUAAAGAAGCACCGGCUAACUACGUU